AAUCGAGUGUGCCUAACUCUGCAUCUAUAACUGGCAUGUCUUCUUUGGACGGGUGCAGGUGCUCUACUACGCGCUACUCCAGACGGGUCACCUGGACAGAUGUUCUGGAACCAUCAUGGUCUGCGUCACUACUGGGGCGUGUGUAUCCGUGGUCAGCACACCAAGACUACCGGCAGGAGAGGGAAGACUGUUG